AACGAACGCUGGCGGCAUGCCUAACACAUGCAAGUCGAACGAGAUCUUCGGGUCUAGUGGCGCACGGGUGCGUAACGCGUGGGAAUCUGCCCUUUGGUUCGGAAUAACAGUUGGAAACGACUGCUAAUACCGGAUGAUGACGAAGGUCCAAAGAUUUAUCGCCAGAGGAUGAGCCCGCGUAGGAUUAGCUAGUUGGUGUGGUAAAGGCGCACCAAGGCGACGAUCCUUAGCUGGUCUGAGAGGAUGAUCAGCCACACUGGGACUGAGACACGGCCCAGACUCCUACGGGAGGCAGCAGUGGGGAAUAUUGGACAAUGGGCGAAAGCCUGAUCCAGCAAUGCCGCGUGAGUGAUGAAGGCCUUAGGGUUGUAAAGCUCUUUUACCCGGGAUGAUAAUGACAGUACCGGGAGUAUAAGCUCCGGCUAACUCCGUGCCAGCCGCCGCUGUAA
rnacentral:rRNA from 1 species